rnacentral:rRNA from 1 species
GAUGAACGCUAGCGGCAGGCUUAAUACAUGCAAGUCGUGGGGCAGCAUGAGUGUAGCAAUACAUUUGAUGGCGACCGGCAAACGGGUGCGGAACACGUACACAACCUUCCUUCAAGUGGGGAAUAGCCCAGGGAAACUUGGAUUAAUACCCCGUAAUAUUAUGGAGUGGCAUCACUUUAUAAUUAUAGCUCCGGCGCUUGAUGAUGGGUGUGCGCCNGAUUAGGUAGUUGGCGGGGUAACGGCCCACCAAGCCUUCGAUCAGUAACUGGUGUGAGAGCACGACCAGUCACACGGGCACUGAGACACGGGCCCGACUCCGUACGGGAGGCAGCAGUAAGGAAUAUUGGUCAAUGGACGCAAGUCUGAACCAGCCAUGCCGCGGUGGAGGAUGAAGGU